rnacentral:rRNA from 1 species
GCGAGAAUAUUCGACAAUGGACGCAAGUCUGAUCGAGCGACGCCGCGUGAUGGAUGAAGUGCUUCGGUACGUAAACAUCUUUUAUCGGGGACGAAAUUAUUGACGGUACCCGAUGAAUAAGGGGCUGCUAACUCUGUGCCAGCAGCAGCGGUAAUACAGAGGCCCCAAGCAUUACCCGGAAUCACUGGGCGUAAAGGGUGUCCAGGCGGCCUUGUUAGUCGUUCGUUAAAUCUCUGGGCUCAACCUAGAGGCUGCGAGCGAAACGGCAAGGCUAGAGGGCGCGAGAGGUGCACGGAACUCAUGGUGGAGGGGUGAAAUCCGUUGAUAUCAUGGGGAACACCAAAGGCGAAGGCAGUGCACUGGCGCGUUCCUGACGCUCACACACGAAAGCCAGGGUAGCGAACGGGAUUAGAUACCCGUGUAGUCC